rnacentral:lncRNA from 1 species
UCGGAAAGCGCGCCGCUCUCGCGAGCGUCGUCAGCGCGCGGGUUCGGUAAUAGCAACUCACGCGCGAGACCGCGUGCCUAGGUUCGAGGCCAGGUGGGCAUCUGCGAUCAUCGCGGCAAACUCGACGGCAGCCGCGCUUAGAUCUCCGGAGCCCGUGAGAAUCGCACGUGGACGGCAACCCGAGUGAUCUCCAAAGCGGCGCCGUG